UGGGGAAUAUUGGACAAUGGGGGCAACCCUGAUCCAGCAAUGCCGCGUGUGUGAAGAAGGCCUUCGGGUUGUAAAGCACUUUAGGCGGGGAAGAAAUGUUACUGUUUAAGAGAUGGUAAUUUUGACGGUACCCGCAGAAUAAGCACCGGCUAACUCUGUGCCAGCAGCCGCGGUAAUACAGAGGGUGCAAGCGUUAAUCGGAAUUACUGGGCGUAAAGGGCGCGUAGGUGGUUUGUUAAGUGAGAUGUGAAAUCCCCGGGCUUAACCUGGGACGUGCGUCUUAAACUGAUAAGCUAGAGUGCAAUAGAGGGUAGUGGAAUUUCCGGUGUAGCGGUGAAAUGCGUAGAGAUCGGAAGGAACACCAGUGGCGAAGGCGGCUACCUGGAUUGACACUGACACUGAGGCGCGAGAGCGUGGGGAGCAAACAGG
rnacentral:rRNA from 1 species